rnacentral:rRNA from 1 species
UAGAGGGCAGCCAAGCGUGAGGCGGAGCAAUCCCUUAAAGCCAUUCUCAGUUCGGAUUGUAGGCUGAAACUCGCCUACAUGAAGCUGGAGUUACUAGUAAUCGCAGAUCAGAAUGCUGCGGUGAAUGCGUUCCCGGGUCUUGUACACACCGCCCGUCACACCACGGAAGUUGGGGGCGCCCGAAGCCACUUAGCUAACCCUUUUGGGAAGCGAGUGUCGAAGGUGAAAUCAAUAACUGGGGUGAAGUCGUAACAAGGUAGC